AUCCUUUGGUUCAUAAGCUUAUGCUUUGAUGUUCAUGCCAUUGUGUGAGAUGUGUCUCCCCCAAACCUUGUUAUGAUGUUAGCAUAUUUCCUAUUUGAAG
ensembl:snoRNA